GGGUGUUUGGCCGAGCGGUUUAAGGCGCCACGUUCAGGUUCGUGUAAUACACGUGUUACACACGAAAAUCGUGGUCUCGAAAGAGGCGUGAGUUCGAAUCUCACAGCACCCA